UGUUGUUAAAACAUGCACAGUCUUGACAGUAGUGACAUCUGUAUUCCAAGCAUGCAUUGUUGUGACAGUAGUGACAUCUGUAUU